GGCAUAACGGAGAGAGGUUUUUUUUCACAGCUCUAGUGUUUGCCCUCUCUCCACCACUUAUGCUGCUUUGGUGUCUACUUUAAAAGGUGGAAGUAUUCAUUACCAGCUCUGCAGUGCUCCUGAAGAAAAGACCGGAUCCUACCGUAUCUAAUGGCUCAGAAUCAGUGUGGCUGAAAUCCCUGCUCGGAGACAAAAAUGGAAAUGCUCUCCCUGCAAUCACAGCCUUUCAUCCAGCCCACUAGGAAAUAUCGUGUCUAUUAGCCAUUAGCUGAUCUGAUAUCCUGGUUUAGACAGCUCAGGCGUCUCUCUGUGUGGCUGUCUGGAGGGAGACUGAAGAGAUUGCAGGCUUUGACCCAUGUGUCUGUUGAUUGACUCAAAUCAACCAAACUGUGGCCCAGAUCAGGCUGUCUGGAAACAGAUGUCCAUUGGUGAUUGAUUUGAUUGGCUGUCUAAUGCAUUGCCAAAUGUGUGUGAAUGCUCCGGAAGAGUCAAGGAGUCAUGUUACGAUGUGUUUGUUAGAAACAGGUUGUAAAAAUACGUUGGCAGAUUUAACAAUGUGAUGAUGGAUGUCAACAUACUUCUUGGAGUGAAGAUACAUUUUAGGAAAUGAUUCACCAAUGAAAUGAUAUAUGAUUAUGUAUAUUUGUAUUAAUAAACGUCUUU